CAGGGCUUAAAUGUAGUCUGACAGGGGUGGAAACACCCUUUUCUUCGGACAGAUUACAAGGUGCUGCAUGGUUGUCGUCAGCUCGUGCCGUGAGGUGUCAGGUUAAGUCCUAUAACGAGCGCAACCCCUGUUGUCAGUUGCCAGCAUGUCAAGAUGGGGACUCUAACGGGACUGCCGGUGCAAACCGUGAGGAAGGUGGGGACGACGUCAAAUCAUCACGGCCCUUACGUCCUGGACUACACACGUGCUACAAUGGCCGGUACAGAGGGAAGCCACCCCGCGAGGGGGCGCGGAUCUACAAAACCGGUCACAGUUCGGAUCGGGGUCUGCAACUCGACCCCGUGAAGCUGGAAUUGCUAGUAAUCGGAUAUCAGCCAUGAUCCGGUGAAUACGUUCCC
rnacentral:rRNA from 1 species